ACUGUAUAGUGUGGACAUUUUCUGAUGUGGUCCUUAAUCCUUUCCAAUGUUUCAUGAAACAUCUCCCCAUCCAUUUGAGAAAAAUUAGUGAUGGCUUUCCUAAUUU